UAGGGAAUCUUCGGCAAUGGACGAAAGUCUGACCGAGCAACGCCGCGUGAGUGAAGAAGGUUUUCGGAUCGUAAAACUCUGUUGUUAGAGAAGAACAAGGACGUUAGUAACUGAACGUCCCCUGACGGUAUCUAACCAGAAAGCCACGGCUAACUACGUGCCAGCAGCCGCGGUAAUACGUAGGUGGCAAGCGUUGUCCGGAUUUAUUGGGCGUAAAGCGAGCGCAGGCGGUUUCUUAAGUCUGAUGUGAAAGCCCCCGGCUCAACCGGGGAGGGUCAUUGGAAACUGGGAGACUUGAGUGCAGAAGAGGAGAGUGGAAUUCCAUGUGUAGCGGUGAAAUGCGUAGAUAUAUGGAGGAACACCAGUGGCGAAGGCGGCUCUCUGGUCUGUAACUGACGCUGAGGCUCGAAAGCGUGGGGAGCAAACAGGAUUAGAUACCCUGGUAGUCCACGCCGUAAACGAUGAGUGCUAAGUGUUGGAGGGUUUCCGCCCUUCGGUGCUGCAGCAAACGCAUUAAGCACUCCGCCUGGGGAGUACGACCGCAAGGUUG
rnacentral:rRNA from 1 species